GACGAACGCUGGCGGCGUGCCUAAUACAUGCAAGUCGAACGCAGUGGGGACGGGUGAGUUACACGUCGGUCACUUCCCAUCAGAGGGGAUACCACUUGGAAACAGGUGCUAAUCCGAUACUAAUGGAUUAACCCUCGGUGCAUUUGCUAGUUGGUGAGGUACCGGCUCACCAAGGCCACGAUGCGUAGCCGAGCUGAGAGGGUGGUCAGCCACACUGGGACUGAGAGGCGGCCCAGACUCCUCCGGGAGGCAGCAGUAGGGAAUCUUCGGCAAUGGACGAAAGUCUAACCGAGCAACGCCGCGUGGGUGAAGAAGGUUUUCGGAUCGUAAAACUCUUUUGUUAGAGAAGCGGUAUCUAACCAGAAAGCCACGGCUAACUACGUGCCAGCAGCCGCGGUAAUUC
rnacentral:rRNA from 1 species